GAUGAAGAACGUAGCGAAAUGCGAUAAGUAAUGUGAAUUGCAGAAUUCCGUGAAUCAUCGAGUCUUUGAACGCACAUUGCGCCCUCUGGUAUUCCGGAGGGCAUGCCUGUCCGAGCGUCAUUGCUGCCCUCCAGCCCGGCUGGUGUGUUGGGCCCCGUCCCCCUUCCCGGGGGGACGGGCCCGAAAGGCAGCGGCGGCACCGCGUCCGGUCCUCGAGCGUAUGGGGCUUUGUCACCCGCUCUUGUAGGCCCGGCCGGCGCCAGCCGACCCCCUCAAUCUAUUUUUCAGGUUGACCUCGGAUCAGGUAGGGAUACCCGCUGAACUUAAGCAUAUCAAUAAGCGGAGGA
rnacentral:misc_RNA from 1 species